rnacentral:tRNA from 1 species
UGCCCGAUGGUGUAAGGGUAGCACAGCAGUUUUUGGUACUGCUAGUCCAGGUUCGAAUCCUGGUCGGGUAA